AUGAACGCUGGCGGCGUGCCUAAUACAUGCAAGUCGAGCGAACAGACGAGGAGCUUGCUCCUCUGGCGUUAGCGGCGGACGGGUGAGUAACACGUGGAUAACCUACCUAUAAGACUGGGAUAACUUCGGGAAACCGGAGCUAAUACCGGAUAAUAUAUUGAACCGCAUGGUUCAAUAGUGAAAGACGGUUUUGCUGUCACUUAUAGAUGGAUCCGCGCCGCAUUAGCUAGUUGGUAAGGUAACGGCUUACCAAGGCGACGAUGCGUAGCCGACCUGAGAGGGUGAUCGGCCACACUGGAACUGAGACACGGUCCAGACUCCUACGGGAGGCAGCAGUAGGGAAUCUUCCGCAGUGGGCGAAAGCCUGACGGAGCAACGCCGCGUGAGUGAUGAAGGUCUUCGGAUCGUAAAACUCUGUUAUUAGGGAAGAACAAAUGUGUAAGUAACUAUGCACGUCUUGACGGUACCUAAUCAGAAAGCCACGGCUAACUACGUG
rnacentral:rRNA from 1 species